UCUAAGAUGUUAAAAAUGAUGUCAGUUUAUUAUUUUAGAAUUAGAAGUAUAAUUGUCAUAGAAACCGCAAAACUUGGGUCAGCCUGGCCAACAUAUUCUUUCCUUUUUGGCAGAUCUUCAGGCUCAUGUGGAAAAACUGAUAAACGGAAAGCAAAUGGAAGAAUAUAAAAACCCCAGUAAUCCCACCACCUAGAGAAAACUACUGAAAUUUCAAAGCAUAACAAAGACCCAAUUCUUGCUGCUCUGGUGUUGCUUCGGUGGGAAUUUCAGCAGCAGUUCUGUGGAUUGUCCUGACGGAUGCCACCACUUUUGAACGCUGACAAGGAAGCUGAAGCACAGGCAGCAAUGAAAUGACUUGACCAGAGUAAGCCAUUUGUUAGUGUCAGAAGCAGUGAUCGAUUUCUCAUUGAAGACUGCGGUGUUCUCUACGAAGAAGGGAUAUCACACGCCAUCAAGAAAAAGUCAUGGGAACCACCACUCAAGUCAACAGAUAGAAACAACAUUUCCAGCAUUCCAGAGGCCGCUUCCUUCCCUUUCCUGGUCACCACCUAUCCCCACCUCC